ACGCGAGUUGCUGGUCGCCCUGGGGGACAUCCAGUCCCAGGUUGCAGCGCCUGCGAGCGGCAGACUGGAGCACUCGUCCAACUGUGACACUGGAGGAUGGAGGAGCCCAGUAGCUGGAGGGACAAAGCUGUGUCCUUAGUAAAGGUGGUCCCCUAAAUUCCCUAUAGCAGAGUGACACUGGCUUCUGGAGACUGGGGACGCACUGAGGAUUCAUCAAUGCCAUGCAAGCUGAGCGCCUGGAGGAAGAGAGCUGUGAUGUCAGAUCCUUUGGAGGAGUGCAGCCCCACUUCAGUCACUCCAGAAGCUGACUAAUCUGUGUGUGACAGAAACUGGAGGGAUUUGCCAUCCGAUGGCACAGACUGGUCUCUUCCUUUGAUGCAGUGGCAUCCCUUGCCCCGAUGAUGCCUGUUGCUGGGAUCCUCGCCCCAAUCUUUGACAUAGGGUUGGCAGAGACUGCUCUCGUCAACUAGAAAUGUGACGAAUGGCUUCUGUUAGUGUUCCUUUUCCUCUUGUGAGCAGGACAGGCAAUUCAUUGCUGCUGGUUGCUACCCUUCUGGGUCUUGUUUUUAGAUUUUAGUUUGCCUCAUGAACCACUCAACCUGACCAGGGGUCAUCAGGAAGACUUGACUUUAUCACACCCACUUCACUGGCCCAGGAAAGGUCUUAGGGGCCUACAGACAUAGUAAGACCACCUAUUCCAUCUGCCAACUGGGAGAUCAAUACACCUGUUUUGACCUAUAGUACUCCCCCAUUGAGAAGUACAUAGAAAUCUGGAAAUGGCCCAGUGGAGCGGGACUAACUGAAUCCAAGUUAUUGGCCCCAAACAUAGCCAGUAUCCUUAUGUUUGACAUGUGUAGUAUUAUAAGUAACAGCCAACCUACAGUGAAUCAUGUGGGAAUCUGUAUUGGGAACAAGAGUACAGGCUUAAUGAUCAGUACAUGUGUGAGGAGUUCUAGUUAUGUCUGGAUAUGCCACACAACACUGGUGUUACUGCCUCUGUUGGAGCUGUGGUUCAGGGACCAUCUGGAAGGAGAAAGAUAAAACAGCCCUCCUCCAAAGGAUAUUGCCACCACCAGCUACAAUUUGGGAACCCACAAUCCUGUUCAUUUUCCUAUCCUUGUUGUGUAACAGUUUUCUCUAAGAUUGAAACAUUUCACCCUGCAGGGAAGCUCCUUAACCAGGAAGGUAAACAACUCAACAUAGCUCCAGGAAGUCCCUGAAAUGGACCAGAUUUGCUAGGCCCCUCCCUCCUAGAGUCAGCAAUAAAGACUGCAGAGACUCUCAUAGAAGCCAAGUUGAAAAGAAGACUGAGACCA